rnacentral:rRNA from 1 species
GCGCCAGACUCCUACGGGAGGCAGCAGUGGGGAAUAUUGCACAAUGGGGGGAACCCUGAUGCAGCAACGCCGCGUGAGUGAGGAAGUAUUUCGGUAUGUAAAGCUCUAUCAGCAGGGAAUAGAAAAGAAGGUACCUGAAAAAGAAGCCCCGGCUAACUACGUGCCAGCAGCCGCGGUAAUACGUAGGGGGCAAGCGUUAUCCGGAUUUACUGGGUGUAAAGGGAGCGUAGGCGGUGCAGCAAGUCAGAAGUGAAAGCCCGGGGCUCAACUCCGGGACUGCUUUUGAAACUGUUGAACUAGAUUGCAGGAGAGGUAAGUGGAAUUCCUAGUGUAGCGGUGAAAUGCGUAGAUAUUAGGAGGAACACCAGUGGCGAAGGCGGCUUACUGGACUGUAAAUGACGCUGAGGCUCGAAAGCGUGGGGAGCAAACAGGAUUAGAUACCCUCGUA